rnacentral:rRNA from 1 species
UACGAAGGGGGCUAGCGUUGUUCGGAUUUACUGGGCGUAAAGCGCACGUAGGCGGAUCGUUAAGUCGGGGGUGAAAUCCUGGAGCUCAACUCCAGAACUGCCUUUGAAACUAGGACGCUAGAAUUGCGGAGAGGUGAGUGGAAUUCCGAGUGUAGAGGUGAAAUUCGUAGAUAUUCGGAAGAACACCAGUGGCGAAGGCGGCUCACUGGACGCAUAUUGACGCUGAGGUACGAAAGCGUGGGGAGCAAACAGGAUUAG